rnacentral:tRNA from 1 species
CCUUCGAUAGCUCAGCUGGUAGAGCGGAGGACUGUAGCAUGAUUACCUCGUGGCAGUGAUCCUUAGGUCGCUGGUUCGAUUCCGGCUCGAAGGA